AAUUUUGGACAAUGGGGGAAACCCUGAUCCAGCCAUCCCGCGUGUAUGAUGAAGGCCUUCGGGUUGUAAAGUACUUUUGGCAGAGAAGAAAAGGUAUUCCCUACUACGGGAUACUGCUGCAGGUAUCUGCAGAAUAAGCACCGGCGAACUACGUGUCAGCAGCCGCGGUAAUACGUAUGGUGCAAGCUGUAAUCGGAAUUAGUGUGCGUAAAGCGUGUGUAGGCUGUUCGGAAAGAAAGAUGUGAAAUCCCAGGGCUCAACCUUGGAACUGCAUUUUUAACUGCCGAGCUAGAGUAUGUCAGAGGGGGGUAGAAUUCCACGUGUAGCAGUGAAAUGCGUAGAUAUGUGGAGGAAUACCGAUGGCGAAGGCAGCCCCCUGGGAUAAUACUGACGCUCAGACAAGAAAGCGUGGGGAGCAAACAGG
rnacentral:rRNA from 1 species